rnacentral:tRNA from 1 species
GAAAAGCACUUGCUAUUGCCAGAGCGAGACAAGUAAAUAAAGACGAUUAUGUGAAAAAUAUUCAUAAAAAAUAAU